rnacentral:rRNA from 1 species
GAUGAACGCUAGCUACAGGCUUAACACAUGCAAGUCGAGGGGCAGCAUGAACAUAGCUUGCUAUGUUUGAUGGCGACCGGCGCACGGGUGCGUAACACGUAUCCAAUCUACCCAUGGCUCGGGGAUAGCCUUUCGAGAGAAAGAUUAAUACCCGAUGGUCUCGGUUUAAGGCAUCUUAGACUGAGUAAAGAUUUAUCGGCGAUGGAUGAGGAUGCGUCUGAUUAGGUAGAUGGCGGGGUAACGGCCCACCAUGCCUACGAUCAGUAGGGGUUCUGAGAGGAAGGUCCCCCACAUUGGAACUGAGACACGGUCCAAACUCCUACGGGAGGCAGCAGUGAGGAAUAUUGGUCAAUGGACGAGAGUCUGAACCAGCCAAGUAGCGUGAAGGAUGACUGCCCUAUGGGUUGUAAACUUCUUUUGUUUGGGAAUAAAGUUCGGGACGUGUCCCGUUUUGUAUGUACCAUUCGAAUAAGCAUCGGCUAAUUCCGUGCCAGCAGCCGCAGUAACAC